rnacentral:rRNA from 1 species
CCCUUAGAUGUUCUGGGCCGCACGCGCGCUACACUGAUGCAUUCAACGAGUCUAAAACCUGCUCUGAUAGGGGUGGGUAAUCUUUUGAAUGUGCAUCGUGAUUGGGAUAGAUGAUUGCAAUCUUUCAUCUUCAACGAGGAAUGCCUAGUAAACGCAAGUCAUCAGCUUGCAUUGAUUACGUCCCUGCCCUUUGUACACACCGCCCGUCGCUCCUACCGAUUGAAUGAUCCGAUGAAUAUCAUGGAUUGAGGAUGCAAGCAGGUUCGCCUGUCUUCAUCUUCGAGAAGUGAAGUAAAUCUUAUCAUUUAGAGGAAGGAGAAGUCGUAACA